rnacentral:rRNA from 1 species
UACGUAGGUGUCAAGCGUUGUCCGGAUUUACUGGGCGUAAAGAGCGCGCAGGCGGUCGGAUAAGUCGAAUGUGAAAGCCCCCGGCUCAACUGGGGAGGGUCAUUCGAUACUGUUCGACUCGAAGGCAGGAGAGGGAAGUGGAAUUCCCGGUGUAGUGGUGAAAUGCGUAGAUAUCGGGAGGAACACCAGUGGCGAAGGCGACUUCCUGGCCUGUUCUUGACGCUGAGGCGCGAAAGCUAGGGGGGCAAACGGG